rnacentral:rRNA from 1 species
UACGAAGGGUGCAAACGUUGCUCGGAAUUAUUGGGCGUAAAGCGCACGUAGGCGGCUUAGCAAGUCGGAAGUGAAAUCCCUCGGCUCAACCAAGGAAGUGCUUUCGAAACUGCUGAGCUUGAGUACUUAAGAGGAUCGCGGAAUUCUCGGUGUAGAGGUGAAAUUCGUAGAUAUCGGGAGGAACACCAGUGGCGAAGGCGGCGAUCUGGGAAGAUACUGACGCUGAGGUGCGAAAGCGUGGGGAGCAAACAGG